UUUUUUUCUCUCAGUACGAGACUGAGAUUAUUCAGGUUAAAACAAAACCUGGCCUCUCCCUUGAUCCAAAACUGAAUGGUACUGAGACGAAACUAGUAGGCAGGUAUGUUGAUGGACCCAACAUGAUAGGACUGGUCAUCUGGUCAUUCGCCAUCGGUAUCCUGUUAAACAGGGUGGGACAGGAGGCAAGAAUCACUGUGGAGGCCAUUCAAUGCCUCAAUGAUGCCAUAAAAAUCAUAGUCAACUGGAUUUUGUGGUACUUGCCAAUCGGAGUUAUGUUCCUGAUCACAGAACAUGUGUUGGGGAUUACAGACUGGCGCGCUGUCCUUAAGCUCA